rnacentral:lncRNA from 1 species
AUGUUGGACUGGGGACUGGGGAGUAUUACCAUGUUGUACUGGGGAGUAUUACCAUGUUGGACUGGGGAAUGGGGAGUAUUACCAUGUUUGACUGAGGAGUAUUACCAUGUCGCACUGGGGAGUAUUACCAUCCAUGUUGGACUGGGGAUUAUUACCAUGUUGGACUGGGGAAUGGGGAGUAUUACCAUGUUGGACUGGGGAGUAUUACCAUGUUGGACUGGGGACUGCGGAGUAUUACCAUGUUGGACUGGGGAGUAUUACCAUGUUGGAAUGGGGAGUAUUACCAUGUUGUACUGGGGAGUAUUACCAUGUUGGACUGGGGAAUGGGGAGUAUUAACAUGUUUGACUGGGGAGUAUUACCAUGUUGGUCUGGGGACUGGGGAGUAUUACCAUGUUGGUCUGGGGACUGGGGAGUAUUACCAUGUUGGACUGGGGACUGGGGAGUUUUACCAUGUUGGACUGGGGACUGGGGAGUAUUACCAUGUUGGACUGGGGAGUAUUACCAUGUUGGACUUGGGACUGGGGAGUAUUACCAUGUUGGACUGGGGAGUAUUACCAUGUUGGACUGGGGAGUAUUACCAUGUUGGACUGGGGAGUAUUACCAUGUUGGACUGGGGACUGGGGAGUAUUACCAUGUUGGACUGGGGACUGGGGAGUAUUACCAUGUUGGACUGGGGAGUAUUACCAUGUUGGACUUGGGAAUGGGGAGUAUUACCAUGUUGGACUUGGGAAUGGGGAGUAUUACCAUGUUGGACUGGGGAUUAUUACCAUGUUGGACUGGGGAGUAUUACCAUGUUGGACUGGGGCAUGGGGAGUAUUACCAUGUUGGACUGGGGAGUAUUACCAUGUUGGACUGGGGAGUAUUACCAUGUUGGACUGGGGAGUAUUACCAUGUUGGAGUGGGGAGUAUUACCAUGUUGGAGUGGGGAGUAUUACCAUGUUGGACUGGGGAGUAUUACCAUGUUGGACUGGGGAGUAUUACCAUGUUGGACUGGGGAGUAUUACCAUGUUGGACUGGGGAGUAUUCCCAUGUUGGACUGGGGAGUAUUACCAUGUUGGACUGGGGAGUAUUACCAUGUUGGACUUGGGACUGGGGAGUAUUACCAUGUUGGAAUGGGGAGUAUUACCAUGUUGGACUGGGGAGUAUUACCAUGUUGGACUGGGGACUGGGGAGUAUUACCAUGUUGGACUGGGGAGUAUUACCAUGUUGGACUGGGGAGUAUUACCAUGUAUGACUGGGGAGUAUUAUCAUGUUGGACUGGGGACUAUUACCAUGUUGGACUGGGGAGUAUUACCAUGUUGGACUGGGGAGUAUUACCAUGUUGGACUGGGGAGUAUUACCAUGUUGGACUGGGGAGUAUUACCAUGUUGGACUGGGGAGUAUUACCAUGUUGGACUGGGGAGUAUUACCAUGUUGGACUGGGGAGUAUUACCAUGUUGGACUGGGGAGUAUUACCAUGUUGGACUUGGGACUGGGGAGUAUUACCAUGUUGGACUGGGGAGUGUUACCAUGUUGGACUGGGGAGUAUUACCAUGUUGGACUGGGGAGUAUUACCAUGUUGGACUGGGGAGUAUUACCAUGUUGGACUUGGGACUGGUGAGUAUUACCAUGUUGGACUGGGGAGUAUU